GAGUUUUGUAACUCGUCGAAAGGGCAAAAUCGACAUUUCUCACACACUAGUAUAAAUAGGAAUAGAAACCCUAAAACCUCAAAACUCUCCUCUCUCCCUCUCGGCCGCAUCUCUCUCUCCCCUGACCUCUCGCUCACUCUCUUCUUCUUCCCUCUGCCACCACCGGAGACCCUAGCUACGGCCACCAUCUCAUCACACCGCUUCCACCAGUCGACGCCGCACCUAUACCCGACCAAAACCCACCUGGAAUCACCGCCAUGCAUCAACCCCAACCUUCACACGCAAUUCCCGAAGCUACGAAACCACUGUAGGUCAUCUCUCCUUGAAUUCCGACCAUAAUCUCGCACACAUCGCCGCUAUUUCUUGGCUCAGUAGACAUGGAGGAGGAAAACCCAGAAGUCUAGCCACCCACCGAAGCCGGACAAGGCUGCACGAGCGCCGCCGGAAUCUCUCCUUCUGUUGAGAUCGAUUCACCGUUCUCCGGCCUCGCCUGAGCGAUACCACCUCCAGAAAUAGGAUCAGCGUCGCGUCAAUCGCCAAAACCCUAGACCCCCGACCUCUAGCUCCGACCUGAGCCGACAUAGCGCCGCUAUGCUCCACCGCCAACUUCCAGACCUUCUCUACUAGGUAAAUUCAUCACCUUUCUUUGGAUAAAGCCUUUUGGCUGUUACGAAUCAAAGCCCUAACCUGAUUGUUUAAUAUGAGAUGUGAGGUUUUGAGGAGUCUGCGAAUUUGGGAUUUUUGGAGAGGAGAAGCUCCUAUGAUAGUUUUGAUUGAUAUCGACAGAAGGGGAUCUGAAAGGUUGGUGGUGGAAAUGCAGCUACAACGAAAUUGGUAUCUGUUUUGGAGAAGAAGAAGCGGUGAGUAUUGGUCUCUGACAAGCUAUGGGAUUUGGUGUGGUAAUUGUAUUUUGAAGUGAAAUUUGGUGUGCUGCUUGAAUGGUUGAAUGCUUGAAUGUAUGGAAAGAAUUGGGUUGUCAAUUAAAUUGGUUUGGCUGUUAUUAA